ACUUAUGUGUGUCAGAGGCCACACGCCUCUAGAGCCACUGUGGGUUAAGUAUCUUGCUCAGGGACACAUUGGUUGAUGUAUCGCAGUGGGAAUUGAACCCAGAUCUCCCACUCCAAAGGCAUGUGUCAUAUCCACUGCACCAUCACC